CAGACAGGUCAGAGAGAGAGACAGACAGACAGGUCAGAGAGAGAGAGAGAGACAGGUCAGAGAGAGAGAGAGAGAGAGACAGACAGACAGGUCAGAGAGAG